UCCUGCCAGGAUCCGUAAUAAGUUUGGCUUGACAGAAGACUUGGCUUCCUUGGUCUAAUUCUCUUGCAAAACCCCAGAGUUUACCCAAUGUCUGGGUCUUGAAGCUUUUGCAACCUGACCUCGUUGGACCUAGGGAUGUCCCCUUGACUAAGGGCCUCGGGAGGGGAGCUAAAAUGGAGCUGCCAGCUGAUGGGGGAAACCCACAGGGACAUGGAGUUCCCCUUGGUCAACGAGGAGGAAGAGGGGUUAACCAUGGUGCUUCUCGCCCUUGAAGGGUUGAACUCAAAUUUGUAGAUCUUCUGAGAUGGUCAGAAGCCAGGGUUACCUUUAAGGCUUUGAGUGGAGCCAGGACCUCAUAAAGGACUGUAUGGUGGCCUUUUAUUAGUGAGUCUAGAAAACUAGAAGUGGAAAGAUAGAUUUAAAAAAGAGACAGCACCAAGGUGCUGUAGGAAGCAUAUGAGUGACCUUUGGGGCCAGAAAGGUCUGGGCUGGAUCCCUGCUCCACCACUCCUUCACUGUGUGAUAGUAGGUAAAUUGCUGAAUCUCUCUGGGACUUACAUUCCACACCACCAAUUGGACUUCAAGCACCAGCCACGAUGCCCACCCUUGAACGACAACUACAAGCCUGAACUACUAACACAGAACAAAACAAUGAGAAGCCAAUCUGCCCAAGCAGCAAGGAGAACUGGGAAUAUCUCUUUCUGUGACCAACCUAUUCCUGCAAGACCUUGAAGUUCGAAAGGCUCCUCUGGCUUUGCCAACCUACCUUCAGGCUGUACACAGAGAGCCAUGG